AAUCCAUAGGUUAAUGAGGCGAACCGGGGGAACUGAAACAUCUAAGUACCCCGAGGAAAAGAAAUCAACCGAGAUUCCCCCAGUAGCGGCGAGCGAACGGGGAGGAGCCCAGAGCCUGAAUCAGCAUGUGUGUUAGUGGAAGCGUCUGGAAAGGCGCGCGAUACAGGGUGACAGCCCCGUACACAAAAGCGCAUGUGCUGUGAGCUCGAUGAGUAGGGCGGGACACGUGGUAUCCUGUCUGAAUAUGGGGGGACCAUCCUCCAAGGCUAAAUACUCCUGACUGACCGAUAGUGAACCAGUACCGUGAGGGAAAGGCGAAAAGAACCCCGGCGAGGGGAGUGAAAAAGAACCUGAAACCGUGUACGUACAAGCAGUGGGAGCA
rnacentral:rRNA from 7 species